UCGGAGUGCUUGCACUCUGUGAAACAAGAUACAGGCUAGCGGCGGACGGGUGAGUAACACGUGGGUAACCUGCCCAAGAGAUCGGGAUAACACCUGGAAACAGAUGCUAAUACCGGAUAACAACAGAUGAUGCCUAUCAACUGUUUAAAAGAUGGUUCUGCUAUCACUCUUGGAUGGACCUGCGGUGCAUUAGCUAGUUGGUAGGGUAACGGCCUACCAAGGCGAUGAUGCAUAGCCGAGUUGAGAGACUGAUCGGCCACAUUGGGACUGAGACACGGCCCAAACUCCUACGGGAGGCAGCAGUAGGGAAUCUUCCACAAUGGACGCAAGUCUGAUGGAGCAACGCCGCGUGAGUGAAGAAGGGUUUCGGCUCGUAAAGCUCUGUUGUUGGUGAAGAAGGACAGGGGUAGUAACUGACCUUUGUUUGACGGUAAUCAAUUAGAAAGUCACGGCUAACUACGUGCCAGCAGCCGCGGUAAUACGUAGGUGGCAAGCGUUGUCCGGAUUUAUUGGGCGUAAAGCGAGUGCAGGCGGCUCGAUAAGUCUGAUGUGAAAGCCUUCGGCUCAACCGGAGAAUUGCAUCAGAAACUGUCGAGCUUGAGUACAGAAGAGGAGAGUGGAACUCCAUGUGUAGCGGUGAGAUGCGUAGAUAUAUGGAAGAACACCGGUGGCGAAGGCGGCUCUCUGGUCUGUUACUGACGCUGAGGCUCGAAAGCAUGGGUAGCGA
rnacentral:rRNA from 1 species